CCCGAGCAGGGACACUGCCAUCCUCGCCUGUGACAUGAGCAGGGACCGCCUGCUGUCAGCUCGACCUUGCACAAGGGACCAACAUCUGACUGCACAUGGAGCUGGAUAAUUAGCAAAGCCCCCAGGAAUUUCUAUCAUGGCCCUCAGGAUGAGAAGAAGCAGAACUGCUGGAGACCCUCUUCGACCUUUUCCAGAGAUUUUAUGGCUGUGAAACCAUGGAAGAUGUUGUGUGCACCCAUUCAUUCUCAGUGGGAUCCUAGCAGUCUCCUAAAGUCUCCUAAUCCAGACAAGUAAAGUGAAACCAACACAAGUUUGCAGAGCGGCUUGAUUUUGACAGGGCUGCAUUUUCCAAUGGAAAGCUGCUCCGAGGUUUUCCAACCAGCUCCACCAGGAACAGGUGUCGCAGGAUCGCAGCG
ensembl:lncRNA